rnacentral:misc_RNA from 1 species
GAUGAAGAACGCAGCGAAAUGCGAUAACUAAUGUGAAUUGCAGAAUUCAGUGAAUCAUCGAGUCUUUGAACGCACAUUGCGCCCCCUGGUAUUCCGGGGGGCAUGCCUGUCCGUGCGUCAUUGCUGCCCUCAAGCACGGCUUGUGUGUUGGGCUCCGUCCCCCCGGGGGCGGGCCCGAAAGGCAGCGGCGGCACCGAGUCCGGUCCUCGAGCGUAUGGGGCUUUGUCACCCGCUCUGUAGGCCCGGCCGGCGCCAGCCGACAACCCAUCAUCCUUUUCAGGUUGACCUCGGAUCAGGUAGGGAUACCCGCUGAACUUAAGCAUAUCAAUAAGCGGAGGA